UACGUAGGGUCCAAGCGUUAAUCGGAAUUACUGGGCGUAAAGCGUGCGCAGGCGGUUCGUUAAGUCAGCUGUGAAAGCCCCGGGCUCAACCUGGGAAUUGCGGUUGAAACUGGCGAACUAGAAUCUGGCAGAGGGGGUGGAAUUCCACGUGGUAGCAGGUGAAAUGCGUAGAGAUGUGGAGGAACACCGAUGGCGAAGGCAGCCCCCUGGGCUGAGAUGACGCUCAGGCACGAAAGCGUGGGGAGCAA
rnacentral:rRNA from 1 species